rnacentral:rRNA from 10 species
UCCUUCCGUAGGUGAACCUGCGGAAGGAUCAUUA